rnacentral:lncRNA from 10 species
AUCAGGCGGAAGCCGGGGCCCGGGGCUGGGCUUCGUGUCCUGCGUUCCGGGAGCGCCAACCCCUCCAGGGAGAGGCUGUCGAUGCUGAGGCACGAGAGAAUUUGCUCCUGCUCCUCCAGAGAAAAUGGCUGGGACAGGCUGUUGAGGAAUAAUUCUGCAGGGAAAAGUGGAAGAUGGCUGUGAAAGACUGGGAGGAGGCUGGCUGUGUUUUCAGGGGUUCUUCCUGCACAGUCGGUAGAAGCUGAGCUGCUGGGGAAGGGGCUGGAAGAAAGCCCACACCGCAGGUAUCAGUAGCAAAUUCAAAAACUACAGAAUCAGCUCCAGAGGACUUUGUUAACAAGAAAGAGAAGAUUGAAAACAGCCCUGGGGCUACACCAACUCAAGAGCUCCCAGGCAAAGUGGCAUCCUGGACCCACCAUCUCUCCUACCCCAUCCUCAGUCGGUACUUCCCCAGGCACCGUUUGUUCUGGCAUGGGGCUAGUUCAGCCCUGGGACCACCCUCAUCCUUAUAACUACCAGCUGUCUUUGGUGAGGUGCAAGAUCUCUCUGGUUUUCUUUAUUUCAUUUUCAUUCCUAUAAUCACAGCCUUUUUUGUGCCCAUCCCUCAGGUGACAUUCUAUUAUGUUUGAUGUGUCAUUUUUGAUUUGGUUGUGUCCUUGCAAAAUGUGCGUUGUUUUAUUUAUCAAUUUAUUUUUAUUUUUAUUUUUUUAAAGAGAUGAGGUCUCAUCAUGUUGCCCAGGCUGGACUCCAACUCCUGGGCUCAAGCGAUCCUUCCACCUCAAUCUUCUGAGUGGCUGGGACUACAGAUGUGCGCCACCAUACCUGGCUAUUGAUCAAUUUUUAGUUUACCAAACAGGCAUUAUGUUCUGGGUCCCAUUCUGUGUCGGGUUCUCUUUUCACUCGGCA